UAAUUUCGACUCUUUGUAGGAGCUUUUGCGAGCAUUGGUUUUCGCUAGAGAUUUUUAGGUUCUUAAUUGGAACGAAAAGGAUUGCUUUCAGUUCGGACUUGAUCCCUUGAAGUUACCUCGUCUUUGUGUGAACUUCCAGUUUUCCUUCUACAUACAUAGUGAAUGUGGACAUAAAGUUACAGAAGAAAAGAGGGAGAUAAAGCCUCCACUUUUUGAAGCUCGUUGAAGUUUCAAAGCAAGGUCGAAUAGACUGCAAUUUAAAGCUGCGACAAACAAUGGUGGAAAUGUUUCGAACUUAGGUCCACAGAUGCAGCUUACAACAAGCUGGAAUGCUUUCCAGACAUGGAGAUCCCUACACUCUGAUUAUCAGUCGAAAGGAAUAUCAGUUUGGUAGCGAUGGGAAUUUGCAAGGAGUCGGUCUCUUCAUAAACAUGGAACCUAAAACUAGGCAUUUGGUAAGUGAACCUCAUGAUCACUGUCUUCUGGUUCUCACGCUCGAUUAAAGUGCAGCAUUGCGAAGGAGACUUUGUACACGUAUGUAAUGCUUAAAUAGGAGGCAAUAACAUGGAUCAUAAUGAUCAGUUUUAUGAAUGGGGAUGAAGAAUAUGCAUUUUACUUCUCCCUGAUAGGGUUUGCAAGUAUGAAGUUUUUUUUUUUUGGUUGUAGUCCAUCUUGAAACACAUGCCGUUCUAUAAAUUGUUCACUGAGGAAAACAAAGAAGGAAGUUUUUAGUAUGUUAUGUUGCACAUUCGACGGAAGAGUCUUAGAAAGCAUGACAACUACGACAAUUCCUUUAAAUUUUUGGAGAAUGUCAGCUACUCUCUCUCCUAUGUCUGUCUGGACAAUUUUCCGUGGUUUCCAUGAUCUUAAGCUGCCAAAUUGACUCAGUAUACUUUCUUAAA